rnacentral:rRNA from 1 species
UGGGGAAUAUUGCACAAUGGGCGCAAGCCUGAUGCAGCCAUGCCGCGUGUAUGAAUAAGGCCUUCGGGUUGUAAAGUACUUUCAGCGGGGAGGAAGGGAGUAAAGUUAAUACCUUUGCUCAUUAACGUUACCCGCAGAAGAAGCACCGGCUAACUCCGUGCCAGCAGCCGCGGUAAAACGGAGGGUGCAAGCUUUAAUCGGAAUUACUGGGCGUAAAGCGCACGAAGGCGGUUUGUUAAGUCAGAUGUGAAAGCCCCGGGCUCAACCUGGGAACUGCAUCUGAUACUGGCAAGCUUGAGUCUCGUAGAGGGGGGUAGAAUUCCAGGUGUAGCGGUGAAAUGCGUAGAGAUCUGGAGGAAUACCGGUGGCGAAGGCGGCCCCCUGAACGAAGACUGACGCUCAGGUGCGAAAGCGUGGGGAGCAAACAGG